ACAUAGCCCUGAUUGAGCUGAUAUCCUCGAAGCAGCGCGCAGAGAUAAAGGCGAAAGCAGGACAACUA
rnacentral:misc_RNA from 1 species